UGGGGAAUAUUGCACAAUGGGGGAAACCCUGAUGCAGCAACGCCGCGUGAGUGAUGACGGUCUUCGGAUUGUAAAGCUCUGUCUUCAGGGACGAUAAUGACGGUACCUGAGGAGGAAGCCACGGCUAACUACGUGCCAGCAGCCGCGGUAAUACGUAGGUGGCAAGCGUUGUCCGGAUUUACUGGGCGUAAAGGGAGCGUAGGUGGAUAUUUAAGUGGGAUGUGAAAUACUCGGGCUUAACCUGGGUGCU
rnacentral:rRNA from 1 species